AUUGAACGCUGGCGGCAUGCUUUACACAUGCAAGUCGAGCGGCAGCGCGGGGGCAACCCUGGCGGCGAGCGGCGAACGGGUGAGUAAUACAUCGGAACGUACCCAGGAGUGGGGGAUAGCCCGGCGAAAGCCGGAUUAAUACCGCAUACGAUCUUAGGAUGGAAAGUGGGGACCGCAAGGCCUCACGCUUUUGGAGCGGCCGAUGUCCGAUUAGCUAGUUGGUGGGGUAAAGGCCUACCAAGGCGACGAUCGGUAGCUGGUCUGAGAGGAUGAUCAGCCACACUGGGACUGAGACACGGCCCAGACUCCUACGGGAGGCAGCAGUGGGGAAUCUUGGACAAUGGGGGAACCCUGAUCCAGCCAUGCCGCGU
rnacentral:rRNA from 1 species